rnacentral:rRNA from 1 species
CAGCAGCCGCGGUAAUACAGAGGGUGCGAGCGUUAAUCGGAUUUACUGGGCGUAAAGCGUGCGUAGGCGGCUUCUUAAGUCGGAUGUGAAAUCCCUGAGCUUAACUUAGGAAUUGCAUUCGAUACUGGGAAGCUAGAGUAUGGGAGAGGAUGGUAGAAUUCCAGGUGUAGCGGUGAAAUGCGUAGAGAUCUGGAGGAAUACCGAUGGCGAAGGCAGCCAUCUGGCCUAAUACUGACGCUGUGGUACGAAAGCAUGGGGAGCAAACAGGAUUAGAUACCCGAGUAGUCCCUGUCUCUUAUAC